GGGAGAGGGAGGGGGGGAAGCUAACGGGAGAGAUUUUGCUGUCGUCUAAGGGCUGAUUGGAAGAGGCAAUCAUUGUAUCUGCGGUUGGAGGAUUAGAGGAGAAACUUUUAUUGCUCCCUUUUGUGAGUGCGUGCGUGCAAAUGGAGAAGUCUCUUCUCCAAGGGGAGCAUCCUUUCGGUUGGCAUCAGGUGCAGCUCAGGGAGGGACUGAGAGCAUUUCCCUCAUCUGUGAGCUGAGGGACGAGGGGAAACGACCCCUCUUCUCUCACUCUUCCUUCUCCAGUUCUGAAAUCGUUCCUUCUCCACCACUGCCGCCUCCCCGUUCCUCCCCUCCCCUUCCCUUCCCUUGCUCUGGAUGAGUGGAAUAGCCUCCAGGGUUUCCUCCUGCUCCUCGCCCCGGACCGGAGCAGUGAGGGGACAUCACUAACCCUCAUCCGUCUCCGUCUCGCUCCAUCCGUUCCCGAGAGGACUUCAGACGGUGCCAUGUGUUUUCAGCCUCUCACCGCUGCAACCACUUGAUACCACGCAACGCGCAGGGAGAGAGAGGCUUUUGCAAAAUGGAUUUGUUCGAUUUUAAAGGAUUUCUUCUCUAAUAAGGAUCGCAUUGCACACAAAUAUGACUAAAUCCCCUAUUUGGUAAAUCUUUCUUCCCCCACCCCUCCUCUUUGGGUUCCCUCCCUCCCACCCCCACCCCUUCAGAGGAGCAAGCACGGGGAGCUGAUGACGGACCCAUUAAUCCCUUCUUCAAUGCAUCAAAAGAAGCCGAAGGGCUGGAAGUCGCUGGGCGCGGAGUCCUGCAGGAGAUGUUUCCCUCCGCUCUGGGUUCUGUAUGAAGCUGGGGACUAAGGCUCGGCUCGCCCCGCCGCCGCUCGCCGGCACCUGGAGGCGCGGGUCGCCGCCGUGCCCGCUGCCGCGAUGCUCCGCUGCCGGCAGUGCUGCCGGGAGCUCGCCGUGAUGGGAUCGAGCCGGCCGUGAUCGGUGGAAGGCGGCGAGGGAGAGAGCGAGCGGGAAGAAGGGCUGCUCCGCUCCGCUGUGUGUGGGCUCCGCGUUUUGGUGUUUUUUUUGUUGUUUUGGUUUGGAUUUUUUGUUUGUUUGUUUUUUUCUUUUUUCUUUUCCUACUUCCAUCCUCUCCCUGCCACUGGAAGUCCUCCCGUAUCUAAAUGGAAUUAGUGGAGACCGAAGCCCCUUGUGUAAGGCACAGACAUGACCCAUGGGCGCAGCUUCCUUCACAUCGUAGCAAGUCUAAUCAUCCUACAUUUGUCUGGGGCAACCAAAAAAGGAACAGAAAAGCAGACUACUGCCGAAGGACAGAAACCAGUGCAGUGUGGAACUUGGACAAAAUAUGCGGAAGGAGGCAUCUUCACUUCUCCCAAUUAUCCCAACAAGUAUCCUCCUGACAGAGAGUGUGUCUACAUUAUAGAAGCUGCCCCUAGACAAUGCAUUGAACUACACUUUGAUGAAAAAUAUUCCAUAGAGCCUUCUUGGGAAUGUAAAUUUGACCACAUUGAAGUACGAGAUGGACCUUUUGGCUUUUCUCCAAUCAUUGGACGUUUCUGUGGACAGCAAAAUCCACCUAUGAUAAAAUCCAGUGGCAGAUUUCUGUGGAUUAAAUUUUUUGCUGAUGGUGAGCUGGAAUCUAUGGGGUUUUCUGCUCGAUAUAAUUUUACACCUGAUCCAGAUUUUAAGGACCUUGGAGUUUUGAAACCAUUGCCAGGAUUCAUUUUUCUGAUAUUUUGUUAUUUAGUUUGUGAGUUUGAAAUGGGAGGACCUGAAGGAAUUGUGGAAUCUGUACAAAUUGUCAAGGAAGGAAAAGCUUCUGAAACUGAAGCAGUAGACUGUAAAUGGUACAUCCGAGCACCACCCCGAUCCAAGAUAUAUUUGCGAUUCUUGGACUAUGAGAUGCAGAAUUCCAAUGAAUGCAAAAGAAAUUUUGUAGCUGUCUAUGAUGGAAGCAGCUCUGUGGAGGAUUUAAAAGCAAAGUUUUGCAGCACUGUUGCAAAUGAUGUAAUGCUGCGGACAGGUCUUGGAGUAAUCCGUUUGUGGGCAGAUGAAGGCAGUCGAAGCAGCCGAUUCCAGAUGCUCUUCACAUCUUUCCAAGAACCCCCUUGUGAAGCCAACACUUUCUUUUGCCACAGUAAUAUGUGUAUUAAUAAUACAUUGGUCUGCAAUGGACUCCAGAACUGUGUGUAUCCUUGGGAUGAAAACCACUGCAAAGAAAAAAGAAAAGCUAACCUAUUGGACCAACUCACCAAUACCAGUGGGACUAUAAUUGGGGUGACCUCUUGCAUUGUCAUCAUCCUCAUUGUUAUCUCUGUGAUAGUACAGAUCAAGCAGCCUCGUAAAAAAUUUGUCCAAAGGAAAACAGACUUUGAUCAAACAGUGUUCCAGGAGGUGUUUGAGCCUCCUCAUUAUGAGUUAUGCACCCUCAGAGGGACAGGGACUACAGCUGACCUUGCUGAUGUUGCAGAUGACUUUGAAAAUUAUCAUAAACUGCGGAGAUCAUCUUCAAAAUGCAUUCAUGACCAUCACUGUGGAUCACAACUGUCUAGCACUAAGGGCAGCCGUAGUAACCUCAGCACAAGAGAUGCUUCUGUCUUGACAGAAAUACAACCCCAGCCUGUAAAACCCCUCAUUCAGCCCGUGAACAGGAGAAAUAUCCUUGUCAUGAAGCAUAGCUACUCACAAGAUGCUGCAGAUGCGUGUGAGAUAGAUGAAAUUGAAGAGGUACCAACUACAAGCCACAGGCUGUCAAGACAUGAUAAAGCUGUUCAGCGCCAUAACAUUCCAGGUUCUGCCUCAUUGGGUCUCUAAGCAAACAUGAGUCUGAGUACAACACAACUAGGGUCUAAGAGACAAACCUGAGAGUUCUUGAGAAUAGUGCGCACCUGGGUGAUUUUGAACAUGCUACAAUGAAAUGUGAAACUAUGGACCUUGGAAACACCAGCUAGAGGUUUUAUGGACUCUCUGACCAGCUAUUCUCAUAUCAUGACAAAAUUCAGCAAACAGUGUUGAGUAAAAUCACUAGAUGGCAAUAAGACUUUCAUCAUUAUGCUUAUCAGUCCUUUCUCUUUUUCUAUUUCUCUCUUCUUUUCAUUGCAAGUAAAAUUCCCAAUUUCAGGAACAAUUUAUUAAAAUCAGGUAUUUAGCAGCUCAUCUUCAAUAGAAAUGUUUGUUGGAUAAGCAUCUAGCAAUAUGGCUGAAUUUGACAUUGAGAAAAUAAUCUGCAUGUAUGUUACUGAAUAUUUGAGUUGGCAAAAAUCUCUUUAUUAGACACAUUGUAAAAAGCAUGCAUUCACAACUGUUGCUGUUACUGUUCCAUUUCUGUGUCAUAUGCUUGCUACUUGUAACUUUUUAUAUAAAGAUACAUAAAAAAAUGUAUAAUAAUUUCCUACCUUGAGUUUAAUGGCAAUUUUUUUUUUUUUUUUUUUUACUAAAUUUACAAAUCUUUUAGCAUUCAUGAGUUUAAACUGUUUAAACUCAAAGCUAGCUCUUAAGAACAUGAAACCCCAAUACAUCAGAAUCAGCUGCCUCUCAUCCCUUAUUUAUUUUGCAUCAGCCUCUUCAGAUAUGAGCAUUCAGAAUACACAACAAUGAAAAAGUUUGUGACAACAUUUUGUUGUCACAGUUCUGCACUCUUAACUAAUUCAUUUUUCCGGCUGUUAAUGGGGAGUUUGCUUCAGUGCAGCAUAGCAGGUGAUUUUUACCAGUUAUGCAAAUAUUAUGGCUGCACUUCAAUUUUAGAGAUGCAUACAUACGCUACAUUCUCAUACAAGACAAAGUGCUAUCUGUAAUUCAAGCCAUAAACAGUAAUAACCAACAUUGGAAGCAAACUUAUGAUGCUAAUUGAUUAAUGAAAUAUCAUAGGUUGAAAAUUCAAAAUUAGGUACACUUGAAAAAAAAUUAUGUUUAAGAACUCAAUAACCUUGCAUAAAAUCAUAGUAUCAAUUAGUUACCUUCUAAAUUCUGUCUAAAAAGAAAUCUCAUUUCUUUCUUAAACAUUUUGUCAUUCAUAGUGGUUUGCUAGGUUUAAUACUACUAUUAUGUAUUUCUGAUAAAUAUUUCUAUUGGGUUUUAUUUUAUUUUUAACUGGGAAGAAUUCCUUGGGUCUUCCCAAAGUAUAAAAGGACGGGGAAAAAGAAUACCUGAGGCUGAAAAAAAAAAAAAAGAAGAAAAAAAAAGAAGUAUUUUAUCAUCUAUUUAUAUAUAUGCUACAUACUUCACAUAACAGCCAACAUAGAAAAUUUGUUUUCUUCCAAAUAGAUUAUUUUCUACAGAUACAUUUUAGGAAUUACAUGUGAUGAAGAAGAUUUCCUAUAUUUUCAUGUAUAUUCAGCACAUUACACAGAAUCUAAUUUUAGCCUGAUUUAUGAAAAAUACUCCCUCUCCACUCACUGAUAGUCACUGAGCCAUUUGUAAGUGGCAUAGAUCCUGAGCAUGUGUUAAUAGUACGUUUUGAGUAUCCAUUUUGAACUUCAUACACUUUGGUUUUUUAUUUCUUUUUUUCUAAUCUUCCAAACUCUAUUUCAUGAUAAUGUGUUUUAUCAGUUCUGUGCUUAAAAUGGAUGCAACUAUGCAUCCAUAGAAGUAGGAAAGACUUGCUGAAAAAAUGUAUAUACAUGCACACACAUUUUUGUAUAUUUAUAAAUAUUUGCUAAUCUGACAAUGUAUAAAUAAAUAUAUAAGGAGAAAUCUAAAUAUGUGAAUUUAGCUUUGAAUUAUAUAUGCCACCUAGAAAAAUACUGAAACUGAAAGCAGUUUCAAAGCUGCUAUACAUUUAAGUGUCUAAAUCCCACUGAAGCACAGAGCUGGUCUACUCUCCACUAUGAACACAGGAAAAUCCAAUUUAUGAUUUUUUAGUGAAAUGCUGACUGAGAGAACAUAACUGGAGAAGACAUGGGCAUUAAUGUUUAUGUAGCAAGCACAUCUCUACUUUCUUAAGGAAAAAUUAGUUGCAUCAAGGAAUAUGAAUGCAAAAUGCUAAAAUCUGUGAUAAUGCAGCAGUUCAAGCAAAACAGUCAAAUUAUACAGAGGAAACAGUCAAAUUAUAAAAUUAUUGGCUAAAGAAAUAAACAAUUUCAAACCCAGUUUAAAUAUUUAAAUAGGAAGACUAGUUUUGAGAGAUUUUAUUCUGCGUAUAGUCUGUGUAAAUAAUAUCCACUAUAUUACAAACAAUAAUGAUAGAUUUUGUUUGGCGUUACAUAACAGUAAGAUAUCUUAAUCUGAUAUAUGAAACUCAUCACAUUAAAACAAAGGGGAUUGUUGCUGAAAAUAUACAGUUUGCCUUUCCUAUAAGCAUUUUUUACUAUGGUGAAGCCAGUUCUUUCAAAAGCAGAAAGCAGUUCAAGAUUUUCAAUUUCAAAUAAAAUGAAUCUCACAACUGGUAUUCGAACACAGAUUACAAGAAAAGUUUUACCAGCUCCAUACCUUCUUCAUUCUAUGGAAAGGUUUAUUUUAUUGAAUUAACAUGACUAAUGUGCUUUGUCUGACAACUCAGUUAACUAGUAAAUGUAAUAAAAAACUGAGGAUUAGAUGAGUUGGGAAUUAUAGCUUCAUGCAUUUGACCUCAUGUUUGCCUAAUGCUAAAACCAAGACCAAAAGUCACUAGAACAUUUUGAUUUAACUGGUGGAUGCAAUGUGUGUGAGGUAUAGCCAUGCUCACAGUAUGCUCAUUUCUUACAUAUUUGUUUUAAAGAUGAGUUUUUGUAAUCAUGGGGCAUUGCCACAUUACUUUUAUCUUUUUCUGUUCUGACUUUCCAAGCCUGUAGUGUUAUGUAUUUACUUUUCUUUUUAGGUAAUGUGUGAACUACUCCUACUCAUUCUACUCAUU